AGGUGCAUUGAGAGGAUGUAGAAAUUCUGGAUUCAUGUCAGGCCCGUCUGCGUUUCUGCCCUCCUCCACCCAGCAUUGAGGGGAGGGCAGGGUAGAACUAAAGCGAAUGUUCUUUUCAAUCCCUGAAUAGGGGCUUGCGUACCUCAGAGGAAGACAGAACACGCACAUUUCUCUGCGUUUCUCUUUGUCUCAUCUUUAGUCUCUAGGCCAUUAGCCCCUGUUGCCAUGGGAACUGAAGCUGAGUGUCUGAUGCAUUCAUUGGGCUGUGGGAGAAAAGCAGAGUUGGUCCUUGAAAUAAAGGCCCCUGGGAGAGGGGAUUCUAGCAAGGCAGUCACAUUGAAAGAAUUCACAAUUCCCACAGAUAUAUUGAUCCUUGUGAUUAUUAGUACACACACACACACACACACACACGCACACAUCCCACACACCCCCACCCCAUACACACACACACACACACACACACACACACACACACAGGCUUCAUCCUGAACAGAUACGAUGUACAGAGCAUCGCACUGGCUGGCCCAUAGGGUUCUUGUGGGAGAGGCCAGGCCUCUGUGACCAUGAAAGGGGUUGCAACUGAUACAGUCAGGGAGGGAUCCCAGGAAGGGGAGUGAUUCCCUUAAAUUUGCUUGUUGAAACCCGUAUCUGGCAGGGGAAAGGAGGAUCCGGUGCAGAGCUUGGAUUCAGCAGAGGUGGCUGUUGAUGUGACCAGUCCCCCUGUUUGGGUGGGAAGGCCCUGAAUGACACAUGCAGCAAGGCAAGAGUGGUCCCGUGCACCCUUUGCUCUUUCUUGGCUUAUCCAGCUCCUCCCUCUGAGAUAGUCCCAUGGGGAGCCCCAGGUUGACCUGGGAUGGGGAUCCCCUCUUUCCAGGGGCAGGGUAGAGUUCUCAAAGCUGGCAGUUUUCUCCUCCUUUCCCUUUCUCCCUCGCUGCCCCUUCUUCUUGCCCCCUGCUCAUCAAUCACCCUUUGGUAAAGGACCUCUCCCCUUGUUCCUUUCUCUUUACUCCCUCAUCCAUUUCCUCUACACUCCUUUCCUCUUUCCUCUCUCUUCCUACCUCACUUCAGCCUCUGUCAUCACCUCUCAUCUCCCCUCUCUGCUCUCUCUCCUCCAUGCCUUGUCUUUCCCUUUGUCCUCCCUCCGAGUUCCCAUAUCCCUCACUGCCCUUUCUCUCCCUCUUUCCUUUCUCAUGUUGUCCUCCCCUGGUUUUCCCCUCAUUUUGCUUUUUCCUUCUCUCUAUGCCGUUCCCUCCCCUCACCCUCCCCGCCCUCCCCUCCCCUGAUACUCACCCAGUGACUAAUCCGCAGUUCCUUAAGUGGUACUGGGCGUAACGUGGGCUCUAUGUGUUUAGCUUUCAGCCUCGGAGGGCAGUACAUCCUAAAGUGAAUCACCAACUUAAUUAUUCCUCUGCAAAUUACCAUCAGUGAUACGAGAUUCAACGACAAGGAGCUGUGAGAGCGCACAGGAAGGGAGCUCAUUUCUGGGGUGGGCUCAGUGAAGAAAAUGUCAUUGAUGAUAGUCCUUGUUCUGCCAUCCACCAUCCUCUGCUUGCCUCUUUCUGUCACUGCCUUCCCUUUUAUGUUGGGGGCAACUCUCCUCUUCUAUCUUUUGCAGCAGGGUGGGACUCCUCUCAUGGUGUCCUGCCCUCCACACCCCAAGGUGUGAGUUCUCAUGAAGUCCAACCGGAUGCCCAUUUCCUGCAACCUGAGCACCCAACAGACCAAAGAGCAUGAGGGGUAGUUUCAACUCGCCCGGGGACCCUUGUUCCUGCUCCCAGCUUCCCCAGGGCACCUUUGGUCAUGUACUUCACUCACCCCUUCUCUUUCUCACGUUCACUUCUCACCUCUCUUCCCCCUCCCUCUUUCCUGGCUGCAUCCUUUUCUCCUAAGGCUUUACCCCAUAAAGACAAAGAAACUGGCUGAGGAGACAAGAGAAAGAAAGUAGCAGAAGAUGGGAAGGAAACAGACGGAGUCUCACUUGUGUUGCCAAGAGAGCUUGAGCAUCAACUGGCAGUGAGGAUGGCAGGAAAGCAACUGACUUAUCCCCUCUCACCAGACCUUCCAACUGUCUGCAACACUGGCAUUGCCACGUAUCCCGGCACGUUGUUGAUCCCAUUGUGGCAUUGUGGUCAGAGAAUAUACAAAUCGCUGAAGAAUCCAUUGUUUAUGGACAUUCCUGGGAUAGUAUUCAUUUAAAUAUCUCUAUGUACACUGUAAUGGAAUAUAAUACAAAAAUGGAGUUGCACGCAAAAUGAGGGUACCACUCAGUAAAUGGUUCCACAGGGACGUCUGAUCCCCUACGAUCUGGGUUAAGAAAUGGUGUAGUGUAUUGCCGGCAGCUCAAAAGCACUCUCAUGCCAGUCACUCUUGUCUUCCACCUCAGCAAAUCUAACCACUCUUGUGACUUUUAACACUUGACGAUAAUCCUGCCUGUUUGUGAACGCAUUACACAUGAGUAGACUCAGUACAGUACGUAUUUUAUAAUCCGGGUUUCUCUUGGCAACAUUAGGUUUUUCUCCUUGCUAUUCACUUUUGUCGUGCUGUGUAGCUGAAUUUCGUUUCUUUGCAUUCCUGCGCAGUGUUUUGAAUUGUAUGACGAUGCCACAAUUUAUUCAUGCCUUUUAUUUCUAAUGGGCUCUUCAGUAGUUUCCAGCGCUGGAGUGUUAGUGUUAUUAUUGUGGUGCACGUUCACAAGGAUGUCCUUUGGUUAACAUGCGUAUGCAUUUAAGGCUGUGCUUGCAGGACUGCUUUGAUUACUUUUUCUUCCUUCAUGGCACUGUAAGUGGUGACAGUGGAUGUAUCUGGUUUUUUUUUCCCCCUGAUCUCAGAGGGAAAGCUGUCAACAUGUCACCCGUAAGUAUCGUUGUUUUUGUAGGCUUUUAAAAUAUAUUCCAACGGAAUCAAGAGACUUCCCUUUUGUUCGUAGUUGGCUAAGAGGUUUUAUCAUAAGUGCAUGGUCAUUUAAAAAAAAUCAAACCCAUGAAAUACCCUUCCUGCGUCUGUAGGGAAUAUCAUAUUUUUUCUCCUUCAUACAUUACUUCUGAGAGAUAGAUUUUUCAAGCGCUGAACCGCUUCAUUUCUAGAAUACUCUUGACUUGUUUGUGAUACGUUUUCCUUUUUGGAGAUUUAACUGAUUUGUUUUGCUAAUGCUUUAUUCAAGAUUUCUUCUUCUGUGCUUAUGUAAAAGAUAGGCCUGUGCAUUUCAUUUCUUACCAUGCCCUUUAAGGUUUUUCCCUCAUAAAACGGGAUGGGAAGCAUUUCCCGUUUUUUAUGUUACUUGGCAAGAAGGUAAGAUUGAUAUUCCUUCCUUCACAAACGUUUUGUAGAAUUAAUCGGUGGCAGCAUCAGAGUCCGUAGGUUCUUGUGGCUGUUGCUGUUGUUUCCUUCAGAUUCCGCCCGUUUAGAAUUUGUAGGACAAUUCAGAUGUUUAGUCUGUUUUCUGUCAUUUUGUUGUAUUUUCUUGAAAUGUGUAAAUUAUAUCCAAAGUUUCACGUUUGUGGGCAUAAAGUUGCUCAUGGUUUUGAAUAAUGAUCUCUUUAAUGCCUUCAUUGCCCAUAGUGAUGUCUCCUUAGCCACUCCAGACACGGGUUGCUUCAUGAUUUCUCUCCUUUUUGUUCAGGCCUACACAAGGCAUGUCUUAAUCACAUCAUCUUUUCAAAAAACCACCUCUGGCUGUGUUGUUUUAUCUUUAACUGAUUUGUACUUUUAUCGUUAUUUCAUUUCUUCUGCUUUCUUCAGGUUUAAUCUGUUGUUCAACAUGGUUAAGAAAGAUGCAAAUGUUGUGCCUUUCUUUUUCAUGCAAUCUAGACAAUUAAAAUAUAUCCCAUAAGAUUUCAUCAGGUUCAAAAUACUUUGCGAUUUCAUUGGUGAUGUUUUCCUUGAGCUAUGGGUUAUUUAGAAAAUAGGAAAUAAAAAGGAUGCCUUUUCUAAAAAUAAAAUGAAGUGAAAUAAAAAGGAUGCCCUUUUAUUUCAUUUUCUUGCUUAAUUGCCCUCUGAACUUCCGGGACUAUGUUGAGAAGAAGUAGCAAAAGCGGGCAUCUCUGUCUUGCUCCUGAUCUUAGAGGAAAAGCUUUCACUCUUUCGCCAUCGUGUACAGUGUUCACAAUGAGUAUUUUAUAUAGGACUUUUGUGACGUUGAGGUUGUUUCCUUCUGUUUCAAGGAGUUUGAGUGUUUUUAUCACGAAGGGGGUUGACUUUUGUCAGAUGCUUUUAGUGCAUCAAUUGAGCCGAUCAUGUGGUUUUGUCCUUCAUUUUGUUGAUGCCGUACACUAAAUUAGUUGAUUUUCAUUGAUCGAAACUUCCUUGCAUUCCACGAAUAAAUCCCACGUGGUCAUGGGCCUUUCAUGUGUUGUUGAACUCGGUGUGCUAGACUUUUGUUGAAUAUGUAUGCACAAACAUUCUUUUGGGAAGUGUGUGUGUGUGUGUGUGUGUGUGUGCGCGCGCGUUUCUGGUCCUAGUUCUUCUCUAACUGUUUAGUAGAAUUCUCCACUGAAGCCAUCUAGUCCUGCGGUUUUCUCUGUUGGGAGGUUGAUGAAUACUGGUUAAGUCUCCUUAUGAGUUGUCGAGAUCUGCUGAGAUUUUUUAUUUCUUCAGGAGUCAGUCUUGGCAGCGUGUACGUUUCUCAGAAUUUAUCCAUUUCUUCUAAAGUAUCAAAUUUGUUGGGGUAUAGUUGUUCCUGGUCUUCUCCUUAUAAUCUUUUUUAUUUCUGUAGUAACAAUUGUAAUGCCCCUCUGUCAUUCUGAUUUUAGUUAUUUGACCCUUCUCUGUUUUUUUCUUAAUCUGCUUAACCUAUGUUGACCUUUUCAGAGACACCAGCUCUUAGUUUCAUUGUUUUUUUUUUCCUAUUAUUUGUCUAUUCUCCAUUUCCUUUAUUUGUGCUCUAAUCUUUAUUACUUCCUUCCUUCUGCUAACUUCGGGUUUACGUUGUUCUUCCUUUGCUAGUUCUCGAAACACAAAGAUAGGCUGUUGAUUUGAGAUCUUUCUUCUUUUUCACUGUAAGGAUUUACCACAAUAAACUUCCCUCUUAACACUGCUUU